rnacentral:rRNA from 1 species
CACGCCGUAAACGUUGUAUACUAGGUGUUAGUGGCUUGUCUACUAGUGCCGCAGCAAACGCAUUAAGUAUACCACCUGGGGAGUACGCCCGCAAGGGUGAAACUCAAAGAAAUUGACGGGGGCCCGCACAAGCGGUGGAGCAUGUGGUUUAAUUCGAUGAUACGCGAAGAACCUUACCUGGGCUUGAACUGUGCAUGACAGGUGUAGAAAUACGCUCUCCCUUCGGGGCAUGUACAGAGGUGC